GACGAACGCUGGCGGCGUGCUUAACACAUGCAAGUCGAACGGAAAGGCCUUUUCGGAGGUACUCGAGUGGCGAACGGGUGAGUAACACGUGGGUGAUCUGCCCUGCACUCUGGGAUAAGCCUGGGAAACUGGGUCUAAUACCGGAUAGGACCGCACUUUAGUGUGUGUGGUGGAAAGUUUUGUCGGUGUAGGAUGAGCCCGCGGCCUAUCAGCUUGUUGGUGGGGUAAUGGCCUACCAAGGCGGCGACGGGUAGCCGGACUGAGAGGUUGGUCGGCCACAUUGGGACUGAGAGACGGCCCAGACUCCGACGGGAGGCAGCAGUGGGGAAGAUUGAACAAGGGGCGCAAGCCUGAUGCAGCGACGCCGCGGGGGGGAUGACGGCCUUGGGGUUGUAAUCUCCUUUCGCCAGGGACGAAGCGUUUUGUGACGGUACCUGGAGAAGAAGCACCGGCUAACUACGUG
rnacentral:rRNA from 1 species